CUGGCGGCGUGCCUAACACAUGCAAGUCGCACGAGAAAGUGGAGCAAUCCAUGAGUAAAGUGGCGCACGGGUGAGUAACACGUGAAUGAUCUACCUCCGAGUGGGGAAUAACCUAGAGAAAUCUGGGCUAAUACCGCAUAACACUUACGAGUCAAAGCAGCAAUGCGCUUGGAGAGGAGUUCGCGGCCGAUUAGUUAGUUGGCGGGGUAAUGGCCCACCAAGACGAUGAUCGGUAUCCGGCCUGAGAGGGCGCACGGACACACUGGAACUGAAACACGGUCCAGACUCCUACGGGAGGCAGCAGUGGGGAAUUUUGCGCAAUGGGGGAAACCCUGACGCAGCAACGCCGCGUGGAGGAUGAAAUCCCUUGGGAUGUAAACUCCUUUCGAUCGGGACGAUUAUGACGGUACCGGAAGAAGAAGCCCCGGCUAACUUCGUGCCAGCAGCCGCGGUAAUACGAGGGGGGCAAGCGUUGUUCGGAAUUAUUGGGCGUAUAGGGCGCGUAGGCGGUUUGACAAGUCUGAUGUGAAAUCUCUGGGCUCAACUCA
rnacentral:rRNA from 1 species